AGCACCAGCCGGCAGGGGCGGACAGGAGGCCGACUUGGGUUUCGAAAUUAGACCUCCCUUCCAGACCAGCCCUGGUCCAGACUCAGCGCUGGGACUUGGGGACGCAGCCACCAUCCAAAUGAGGAAACUGAGGCUGGGCAAGAGUAGAUACCCUGUCCAAAGCCACGUGGCUGCGAGGUGACAAAGCAAGGAUUCAAAUCCAGAGCCACACAUUUACCCACCAAGCUCUCCAAGAGCUGAUGAAGACAAGCCAUAGGUACCAGCUGACUAAGAACAACUUACAGAAGAAACAUUUAACCUGAAAAGUCUUAUCCAUUUCCCUCUUCCACUUGGUGUUGGCUGGGCCUGAUUGAAAGAGCCAUGACUUGCCCCUUCGGAUUAUUUGAGGAAUGAGCAGAGUGUAUCUAAAAUGAAGCUUGUGAUGGACUUCCCUGGUGGCGCAGUGGUUAAGAAU